rnacentral:lncRNA from 1 species
CCAGCAUGUUCUGCCAGAUCUGAACCACAAUAAUUUCUGUUGUUCAAUGAGCCACAGCCAAGCCCUCUCCUACAAGGUCUGGACCUCAGCCGCGGGGAGAGGCUCUUUCUUGAGAGCUCUAUCUCAGCCCUAGGGGUAAUGCUGCUCCUUCUAUCUGCUAUUCCUGUAUUCUUUAGAGUUUGUUUGGUGGUUGUUUUUUUUUUAAUUCUCACUAGCCAAUCCCUCAUUACCCAAACUCCUGUAUAGUUAGGAGCUGUGUAUGUGAAACUUUCUCUGUUCAAAUUACUGUGUGGUUUCUCUCUCCCAGCUGGACCCAGACUAACACACUUGUAAAAAUCCUGUAAAACAAGCAACAAGUUGGAUGAACUCUACACUCAUGUCCACAGAAGACACAUCUAAGUCUGUUGCGAGGAGGCAGGGAUGGGGACCCAGAGCCACAGAGCCUCAGAAGACUAUCUCAGAGGCCCAUACAAAUGGACUGUUCCAGGUACUCUCAGGCACAGGCUUCUGAUGAUGUCGCCCAGAUAAAUUUGAGACCACAACAAUGAAUUUCCACAACCAUUAGUCACGAAGCAGAUGAAUUCAUGAGACUGCUUAUCCAAGAACUGAAGCCUGACUGCCCAGGUCCCCAUCAGGACUCUAGUUACCCUGAAGGUGUCCUUUCUCUCAGGGUCUGAAAAAGCCCUGAGAGGUGAAGCCCAACAACUUGAUAUAAACCUGGAAGGACACAUCACCAUGGCAGACCAUGCACGAGCCAGAUUCUUCCCUGUGUGAGCCACUGCCUGGGCUACUAAGACAGUCUGAUAAAAUAUGUGCCCUACACAAAAAGUAACCAAGACUGUGGACAACAUCACCAAGAGACAUCUUAGUUUCAAGAAACUCAACAAACAGUGCUAUGUAAUCAAAAGAUUUCCACCCACUGACUUAGAAUCUCUGGAUUGGAUACCCUCAGGAUUCAAUUCCUGGCUCAUUAAUAUGAACUUUCAUAUUAAUAUUUCUCUUUUUUCAUUUUAGACAAUGUUCUUUUAAUAUACCUGAUCUAUAUGACCCUAAAACUACUGAUCUUUGCCAGCACGCCCAACAGAUGUUUCCUUUGGUCCUUUAGGAAUAACGCAG